rnacentral:rRNA from 1 species
UACAGAGGGUGCAAGCGCUAAUCGGAAUUACUGGGCGUAAAGCGUGCGUAGACGGUUAUGUAAGUCAGAUGUGAAAGCCCCGGGCUCAACCUGGGAAUUGCAUUUGAGACUGCAUAGCUAGGGUGCGGAAGAGGGAAGCGGAAUUUCCGGUGUAGCGGUGAAAUGCGUAGAUAUCGGAAGGAACACCAGUGGCGAAAGCGGCUUCCUGGUCCAGCACCGACGUUCAGGCACGAAAGCGUGGGGAGCAAACAGG